rnacentral:rRNA from 1 species
UUGUAAACUUCUUUUGUAAGGGAAUAAAAUGCGCUACGUGUAGUGUUUUGUAUGUACUUUACGAAUAAGGAUCGGCUAACUCCGUGCCAGCAGCCGCGGUAAUACGGAGGAUCCGAGCGUUAUCCGGAUUUAUUGGGUUUAAAGGGUGCGUAGGCGGACCCGUAAGUCAGCGGUGAAAGUUUGCAGCUUAACUGUAAAAUUGCCAUUGAAACUACGGAUCUUGAGUGUAAAUGAGGUAGGCGGAAUGUGUUGUGUAGCGGUGAAAUGCUUAGAUAUAACUCAGAACACCAAUUGCGAAGGCAGCUUACUAGGAUACAACUGACGCUGAGGCACGAAAGCGUGGGGAUCAAACAGGAUUAGAUACCCUGGUAGUCCACGCGGUAAACGAUGAAUACUAACUGUAUGCGAUAUACUGUAUGUGGUAAAGCGAAAGCGUUAAGUAUUCCACCUGGGGAGUACGUUCGCAAGAAAUG